UACGUAGGGUGCGAGCGUUGUCCGGAAUUAUUGGGCGUAAAGGGCUCGUAGGCGGUUUGUCACGUCGGGAGUGAAAACUCGGGGCCUAACUCCGAGCCUGCUUCCGAUACGGGCUGACUAGAGGUAUGCAGGGGAGAACGGAAUUCCUGGUGUAGCGGUGAAAUGCGCAGAUAUCAGGAGGAACACCGGUGGCGAAGGCGGUUCUCUGGGCAUUACCUGACGCUGAGGAGCGAAAGUGUGGGGAGCGAACAGG
rnacentral:rRNA from 1 species